rnacentral:rRNA from 1 species
GACGAACGCUGGCGGCGUGCUUAACACAUGCAAGUCGAGCGGUAAGGCCCUUUCGGGGGUACACGAGCGGCGAACGGGUGAGUAACACGUGGGUGACCUGCCUUUAGCUCUGGGAUAAGCCUGGGAAACUGGGUCUAAUACCGGAUAUGACCCUAUGGCGCAUGUUGUGGGGUGGAAAGCCUUGUGCGGCUAGGGAUGGGCCCGCGGCCUAUCAGCUUGUUGGUGGGGUGAUGGCCUACCAAGGCGACGACGGGUAGCCGGCCUGAGAGGGCGACCGGCCACACUGGGACUGAGACACGGCCCAGACUCCUACGGGAGGCAGCAGUGGGGAAUCUUGCGCAAUGGGCGAAAGCCUGACGCAGCGACGCCGCGUGAGGGAUGACGGCCUCGGUUGUAACC